ACGGACUUCGGUCUGGUGGCGAGUGGCGAACGGGUGAGUAAUGUAUCGGAACGUACCUUUCAGUGGGGGAUAACGUAGCGAAAGUUACGCUAAUACCGCAUAUUCUGUGAGCAGGAAAGCAGGGGAUCGAAAGACCUUGCGCUGAUUGAGCGGCCGAUAUCAGAUUAGCUAGUUGGUGGGGUAAAGGCCUACCAAGGCGACGAUCUGUAGCGGGUCUGAGAGGAUGAUCCGCCACACUGGAACUGAGACACGGUCCAGACUCCUACGGGAGGCAGCAGUGGGGAAUUUUGGACAAUGGGGGCAACCCUGAUCCAGCCAUGCCGCGUGAGUGAAGAAGGCCUUCGGGUUGUAAAGCUCUUUCGGCCGGGAAGAAAUCGCAUAGGCUAAUACCCUGUGUGGAUGACGGUACCGGAAUAAGAAGCACCGGCUAACUACGUGCCAGCAGCCGCGGUAAUACGUAGGGUGCGAGCGUUAAUCGGAAUUACUGGGCGUAAAGCGUGCGCAGGCGGUCUCGUAAGACAGAGGUGAAAUCCCCGGGCUCAACCUGGGAACUGCCUUUGUGACUGCGAGGCUAGAGUAC
rnacentral:rRNA from 1 species